AUUGAACGCUGGCGGCAGGCCUAACACAUGCAAGUCGAACGGUAACAGGAAGAAGCUUGCUUCUUUGCUGACGAGUGGCGGACGGGUGAGUAAUGUCUGGGAAACUGCCUGAUGGAGGGGGAUAACUACUGGAAACGGUAGCUAAUACCGCAUAACGUCGCAAGACCAAAGAGGGGGACCUUCGGGCCUCUUGCCAUCGGAUGUGCCCAGAUGGGAUUAGCUAGUAGGUGGGGUAACGGCUCACCUAGGCGACGAUCCCUAGCUGGUCUGAGAGGAUGACCAGCCACACGGGAACUGAGACACGGUCCAGACUCCUACGGGAGGCAGCAGUGGGGAAUAUUGCACAAUGGGCGCAAGCCUGAUGCAGCCAUGCCGCGUGUAUGAAGAAGGCCUUCGGGUUGGAAAGUACUUUCAGCGGGGAGGAAGGGAGUAAAGUUAAUACCUUGGCUCAUUGACGUUACCCGCAGAAGAAGCACCGGCUAACUCCGUG
rnacentral:rRNA from 1 species